GAUGAACGCUGGCGGCGUGCCUAAUACAUGCAAGUCGAGCGAACUGAUUAGAAGCUUGCUUCUAUGACGUUAGCGGCGGACGGGUGAGUAACACGUGGGCAACCUGCCUGUAAGACUGGGAUAACUUCGGGAAACCGAAGCUAAUACCGGAUAGGAUCUUCUCCUUCAUGGGAGAUGAUUGAAAGAUGGUUUCGGCUAUCACUUACAGAUGGGCCCGCGGUGCAUUCGCUAGUUGGUGAGGUAACGGCUCACAAAGGCAACGAUGCAUAGCCCGCCUGAGAGGGUGAUCGGCCAGACUGCGACUGAGACACGGCCCAGACUCCUACGGGAGGCAGCAGUAGGGAAUCUGCCGCAAUGGACGAAAGUCUGACGGAGCAACGCCGCGUGAGUGAUGAAGGCUUUCGGGUCGUAAAACUCUGUUGUUAGGGAAGAACAAGUACAAGAGUAACUGCUUGUACCUUGACGGUACCUAACCAGAAAGCCACGGCUAACUACGUGCCAGCCGCCGCCGUAA
rnacentral:rRNA from 1 species